CAACUCUAAAACCAUCUCAGCUCCAUUCAUAACACAGGUUUUGAGGAAGCUGCAAUACAGUGAUUUUGUGUCACCAGACCAUCUGCCUAGGUAGUCCCCAUAUAAAGGAACGAGAUACACAGAACCUCACCAUUGAAGGACUGGUGGUGCAUGGAGACAGUGUGUCUUGAAGAUUCAUGCUCCAGGAGACACCCAGGUAGCUAAACGGUGUGCUGGGCCCAGUGCCUUGCUGUG
rnacentral:lncRNA from 1 species